rnacentral:lncRNA from 1 species
AUUGGUCGCCUGAUGCAGUCAGUAAUUGGGAUCCCUCCUAAAUAAAUGACAUGAAUAAGAUGAUUAACUUUGCCAGAGACACAAAAAUACUGAAGCAGAGAAAACAGCUGUUGCAUAUUGCACGUAAAUGUGGUUAUAUCGUGCGUUGAGGAGGUGGCAUCUCUGGCGGUUGGCGACGGCACGUCAGAACCCGUGGAGGGCGACCAACGGCGACAAGGGCCGGGAGGCCGAGGCGGCGUGAGGAGGAGGUCGAGCAGGUCGAGCAGGUUCGCGGUCCAUGGCCUUCCUUGUUGUGCACAAGCAGAGAUGAGUCGGGCCUGCACACAACAGCACGCACACACACAUCAAAUCGAGAAGAAGAAGAAGAAGAAGAAGAAGAGAAGGGGAUGCACUCACGCAUCAAAUGCUCUUCUUGGAGGGGAUCCUGCUGGCUUGACCUGCAGUUGGAAGGAGGGGCUAGGGUUUCAGGCGGCGGUUGCGGUCGGACGCGAGGGCUAGGUCCUCUGCUGCUCUCUGCAGGCAACCAUGGUGGUGGCGCGAAACGGGGCUCCUCUGCAGCGACCGGAGAGGAGAUGAGAUGGGGGAGGAAGAACGCGGGCGCGGGCUACGUCGUCGCCGUCGAGGCCAUGGACCAGAGGGUGAUCUGCGGCGCCACCGCCAGAUCGGUCAUCAUGGCCGCGGGCGAGGGAGGCGACGGUGACGUCUUGAGUAGGAGGAUGGGGGCGAGGGCUUAAGGAGGAGGUCGGAACGGCGCUGGCUGGCUUCUCCCGGCGAGGUCCGGGAGGCGCCCGGGCGAGGCCAGCGAGGAACAUGCAGCGGCGGCUGAGGAGGAGGGGCUAGGAACCCUAGCCAGGGUGAGGGAGUCAUGGGUGGGUGGCGAUGGAUUGUGGGAGCGGGCUGCCUAUGAGCGCAUCGACCGUGGGGAGGUAAAAAACCAGACGAAAAAAUAACCAACGAAAAUAAAACGGAGGUGGGAGGAUGAUGAAAAAAACCAGCGAAAAUAAAACCGCGCGGACUAUUCACCAACUGCUCCGUUAGGAGUAGAGAUUAUGAGAAAUUAAAUGAAUUGAUGGAUCAUGCUGUACUCACAGAUUGGUCGCCUGAUGCAGUCAGUAAUUGGGAUCCCUCCUAAAUAAAUGACAUGAAUACGAUGAUUAACUUUGCCAGAGACACAAAAAUACUGAAGCAGAGAAAACAGCUGUUGCAUAUUGCACGUAAAUGUGGUUAUAUCGUGUGUUGAGGAGGUGGCAUCUCUGGCGGUUGGCGACGGCACGUCAGAACCCGUGGAGGGCGACCAACGGCGACAAGGGCCGGGAGGCCGAGGCGGCGUGAGGAGGAGGUCGAGCAGGUCGAGCAGGUCCGCGGUCCAUGGCCUUCCUUGUUGUGCACAAGCAGAGAUGAGUCGGGC